ensembl:ncRNA lncRNA:CR45511 long non-coding RNA:CR45511
AGCGAGCUGCUAUGACGAGGCUGACAACAACUCUCUUGUAUAACAACCGAAAUGCAAAUACACACGUGCAACAGAGGCAACCAUCCCCAUCCCCUACCCACCAAUCACACACACCAUGACACAACACAACACAGCACAGCUGUGCACAGCAGAGCGCACACACACGCUCACGCACACCCACGCAUGUUAAGUGUUUAACAUAAUAAACACGCGUAUUACGAGGGAAUUAACAUGACAUUUAACAACGCAACCGAGACAAAACCCAACGAAAGCUACAACAAUUUGUUGCUGUCUGUGAUUAAAAGAGCGACAUUCUGAACUUUUGCUGAGUAAUCCCAAAACUCCGAGUCCAGAUUUUCUUUACAUUCUUUUUUAAAGCGAAAAUCGCUUCCGCUUCCGUCUUUGGCGGCCUGAACGGAUUUCUCGCCCUUUUCGGCC